GACGAACGCUGGCGGCGUGCCUAAUACAUGCAAGUCGAACGAACUCUGGUAUUGAUUGGUGCUUGCAUCAUGAUUUACAUUUGAGUGAGUGGCGAACUGGUGAGUAACACGUGGGAAACCUGCCCAGAAGCGGGGGAUAACACCUGGAAACAGAUGCUAAUACCGCAUAACAACUUGGACCGCAUGGUCCGAGUUUGAAAGAUGGCUUCGGCUAUCACUUUUGGAUGGUCCCGCGGCGUAUUAGCUAGAUGGUGGGGUAACGGCUCACCAUGGCAAUGAUACGUAGCCGACCUGAGAGGGUAAUCGGCCACAUUGGGACUGAGACACGGCCCAAACUCCUACGGGAGGCAGCAGUAGGGAAUCUUCCACAAUGGACGAAAGUCUGAUGGAGCAACGCCGCGUGAGUGAAGAAGGGUUUCGGCUCGUAAAACUCUGUUGUUAAAGAAGAACAUAUCUGAGAGUAACUGUUCAGGUAUUGACGGUAUUUAACCAGAAAGCCACGGCUAACUACGUGCCAGCAGCCGCGGUAAUACGUAGGUGGCAAGCGUUGUCCGGAUUUAUUGGGCGUAAAGCGAGCGCAGGCGGUUUUUUAAGUCUGAUGUGAAAGCCUUCGGCUCAACCGAAGAAGUGCAUCGGAAACUGGGAAACUUGAGUGCAGAAGAGGACAGUGGAACUCCAUGUGUAGCGGUGAAAUGCGUAGAUAUAUGGAAGAACGCCAGUGGCGAAGGCGGCUGUCUGGUCUGUAACUGACGCUGAGGCUCGAAAGUAUGGGUAGCAAACAGGAUUAGAUACCCUGGUAGUCCAUACCGUAAACGAUGAAUGCUAAGUGUUGGAGGGUUUCCGCCCUUCAGUGCUGCAGCUAACGCAUUAAGCAUUCCGCCUGGGGAGUACGGCCGCAAGGCUGAAACUCAAAGGAAUUGACGGGGGCCCGCACAAGCGGUGGAGCAUGUGGUUUAAUUCGAAGCUACGCGAAGAACCUUACCAGGUCUUGACAUACUAUGCAAAUCUAAGAGAUUAGACGUUCCCUUCGGGGACAUGGAUACAGGUGGUGCAUGGUUGUCGUCAGCUCGUGUCGUGAGAUGUUGGGUUAAGUCCCGCAACGAGCGCAACCCUUAUUAUCAGUUGCCAGCAUUAAGUUGGGCACUCUGGUGAGACUGCCGGUGACAAACCGGAGGAAGGUGGGGAUGACGUCAAAUCAUCAUGCCCCUUAUGACCUGGGCUACACACGUGCUACAAUGGAUGGUACAACGAGUUGCGAACUCGCGAGAGUAAGCUAAUCUCUUAAAGCCAUUCUCAGUUCGGAUUGUAGGCUGCAACUCGCCUACAUGAAGUCGGAAUCGCUAGUAAUCGCGGAUCAGCAUGCCGCGGUGAAUACGUUCCCGGGCCUUGUACACACCGCCCGUCACACCAUGAGAGUUUGUAACACCCAAAGUCGGUGGGGUAACCUUUUAGGAACCAGCCGCCUAAGGUGGGACAGAUGAUUAGGGUG
rnacentral:rRNA from 2 species